UGGGGAGUAAAUACCUUAGAGAGUGAGAGUGAAGGUUGGUAGACCUACACCCUCUGGCCCAGCUUAGUCUAGAGCUCAGUUCUUAACAUCGUCAUGCAAGAUCUCACAUUCGGUAUCCACGAGCACCAUGAGUUUACACAGGAGUUCUGGACCUUGGAACAUGUACUUCUCCUCUCACAACCCAGGCUUCAUUUUCAAAUUGCAGUGCGAACACUUCCCCUAACAGUCAGCUAGGUUCAGCUAGAUGCCAGUAGCGCUUCCCAGAAGCAGCUAGCCCUGAGUGCCUCCUUUCUGAGCCCACUUCUGAAGGUCAGGCCUGAGGAGAAAGCCGGGGUUUGAAAGGCCCUUAGGUCCCAAGGGAGGCAGCUGUGGAGAGUGGCGCAUGGCCCUCUGGCUUUGCUUUCCAGAUCACAGCUAUAUGAUGAGCUCUAUUCUAGAGCAAUAUGCUGGGUUUCUUACAACUAGGACAAGAGGCAGGAAGCCAGGAUUUCUCCCGUAGGUGUGCCCCGAAGCUGCUGAGUUAGCUGCUUUCUGAUUCAAAGUUCCAGACAAAGGAGCAAAAAACAAUCUCUGCCUGUCUUUCCAACCCAAUGCAUGAUAGCAAAAAUUGCUCCGAAUAUAGAGCCAUAGAUAAUUUAAGUCUGUUCCACCUCCUUGAUCUCCUUCUAGCCUUACAAGAAUUCUACAUAGCUGGCAAGACACGGUCAGUUUUACUGUCAUGGAAGAGCAGCCUGGGGUCCAGAGAAGUGCCUUGUUUGGUGACCCUGGUCACCUGGCAACAGAGGCAGGCCCACAGCACACUUCACCUUGCUUUAUCCAAUGUUUGCUGCUUCUUUUCUUUCGACUGAAGCUUAAAAACUGAGUGUGAACUUUGCUGCAAUUGUGAUGUCUUCAGUGUGGUUGUCAUUGUAUCUCAUAACAGGAAUCCAUAGUCACACAGGUACCAUUUGGAGUAGACUUCCAUGACUCUUUCUCCCCCACUUCGGUGACUCUUCCUCCACCCUCUUCAGUGAGCAGUGUCACCCAGCAUCUGAGGACCUGAGACUCAACUGGCCAAGGGGACAUGUGAUGUGAUGAGAAGCAGAGGAAUACAGAAGCAGUGUGAUACAUGGAAGAACACAGACUUCAGAGUGAAGUGAACUUGGGCACACCCCGGCUCAACUGUUUGCUGUUUAACUGUCUAGGACUAGUUUCUCCUGCUUCCGGGCCUGGCAGAAGGGGUUGGAUCCCACAACUUCUUGGUGCUGUUACUCCCGCUGCUGGCAUCUUGAGUCCCUCUGUUGGAAAAGUACAGCACCAAACUGCCUCCCCCAGGGCAAUGAAGAAGGCGAUGCCACUGACAGUUUUAAAAGGACG